UUAUGGAGUCCUUAAGUUCUGUGUAAGAGCCUUCCACAAAUUCUUCUCUAAGCGAACAGGCAGGUCAUUAUAUCAUAACAGUAAGAGAACAGAUUUCUGAAAUCGGGCAAACAUCAAUUUGACUCCAAUUCAAUAACUAACGUCGACAUGGUUUUUUAGCGUCUUGGAGCCUGGCUCCGUAUCUGUAAACCCAAAUCCUACCAGAACCAACCGAGAUAAUGUCUGUAAAGCGCUUAGCAAAUCGCUGGGCGCCGCGGGCACAUCUGUAGACGGAAAAGUCAAAGCAGGGUUAGCUCGGGAGGAAGCAGUGGAUGCACGGCCUCGGAUUCUCAAAGCGAACCUUCUUCUCCGGGAUCUCAAAGACAAAUCAAAGCUCUUCCAGAUAAAUGCCCUGCCCUGUACAGACAAGAACCUGCCUCCGUCUAAGACAAGGUCCCUUUAAGAGCCUCGCUCCUUCCGCCCUUCUCCCGCCCCCGCCUAAGCAAAGACGGAAGCGGAAGAGGUGGGGGACUUGCUGGUCCCCAGCAUGGCGGCCGCCUGGCCCUCCAGGCCGGCUGCGCAGGAGGCGGUGGCCGCCCAGCUCCUGGGUGUCCUGUGGUUCGUGUCAGUCACCACGGGACCUUGGGGAGCUGCUGCCAUCGCCGCCGCUGGCGGGGAGGAGACGCUUAAGUGCGAGGACCUCAAAUUGGGACAAUAUCCUCUUUCCUUGUUUUCCAGCACCCAACAUAACUUGUAAGGAUUUCAGUGGCAAUGAAACACAUUUUACCGGGAACGAAGUUGGUUUUCUCAAGCCUAUAUCUUGCCGAAACGUAAAUGGCUAUUCAUACAAAGUGGCAGUGGCACUAUCUCUUUUUCUUGGAUGGUUGGGAGCCGAUCGGUUUUACCUUGGAUACCCUGCCUUGGGUUUGUUAAAGUUUUGCACUGUCGGAUUUUGUGGAAUUGGGAGCCUAAUUGAUUUCAUUCUUAUUUCAAUGCAGAUUGUUGGACCUUCAGAUGGAAGUAGUUACAUUAUAGAUUAUUAUGGAACCAGACUUACAAGACUGAGUAUUACGAACGAGACGUUUAGAAAAACACAGCUAUAUCCAUAAGUAUUUUUUAAAAGAAACAAUUCUCCUUAUUCCACUGCCAGACAUCUAUGACCGUGUCUGUAGAGGAAAAGAAAUUCUUCCAGACUUCAAGCCGUAUUACAAAGCUGUAAUCAUGAAGACAGUAUGGUACUGGCACAAGAACAGACACUCAGAUCAGUGGAACAGAAUAGAGAACCCAGAAAUGGAUCCACAAACGUAUGGCCAACUAAUCUUUGACAAAGCAGGAAAGAAUAUCCAAAGGAAUAAAGACAGUCUCUUCAGCAAGUGGUGCUGGGAAAACUGGACAGCGACAUGCAGAAGAAUAAAUCUGGACCACUUUCUUACACCAUACACAAAAAUAAACUCAAAAUGGAUGAAAGACAUCAAUGUAAGACAGGAAGCCAUCAAAAUCCUUGAGGAAAAAGCAGACAAAAAUCUCUUUGAUCUUGGCCGCAGCAACUUCUUACUCAACACGUCUCUGGAGGCAAGGGAAACAAAAGCAAAAAUGAACUACUGGGACUUCAUUAAAAUAAAAAGCUUCUGUACAGCAAAGGAAACAAUCAGCAAAACUAAAAGACAACCAACAGAAUGGGAGAAGAUAUUUGCAAACAACAUAUCAGAUAAAGGUUAGUAUCCAAAAUCUAUAAAGAACUUAGCAAACUCAACACCCCCAAAAAAAAUAAUCCAGUGAAGAAAUGGGCAAAAGACAUGAAUAGACACUUCUCCAAAGAAGACAUCCAGAUGGCCAACUAACACAUGAAAAAAUGCUCCACAUCACUCAUCAUCAGGGAAAUACAAAUCCAAACCACAAUGAGAUACCACCUCACACCUGUCAGAAUGGCUCACAUUAACAACUCAGGCAACAACAGGUGUUGGCGAGGAUGCGGGGAAAGAGGAUCUCUUUUGCAUUGUUGGUGGGAAUGCAAGCUGGUGCACCCACUCUGGAAAACAGCAUGGAGGUUCCUCAAAAAACUAAAAAUAGAACUACCCUAUGACCCAGCAAUUGCACUACUAGGCAUUUAUACACGGGAUACAGGUGUGCUGUUUCAAAGGAGCACAUGCACCCCCAUGUUUAUAGCAGCACUAUCAACAAUAGCCAAAGUGUGGAAAGAACCCAAAUGUCCAUCGAUGGAUGAAUGGAUAAAGAAGAUGUGGUAUACACACACACACACACACACACACACACACACACACACACAUACACAAUGGAAUAUUACUCAGCAAUCAAAAAGAAUAAAAUCUUGCCAUUUGCAACUAUGUGGAUGGAACUAGAGGAUAUUAUGCUAAGUGAAAUUAGAGAAAGACAAAUAUCGUAUGACUUUACUCAUUUGAGGACUUUAAGAGACAAAACAGAUGAACAUAAGGGAAGGGAAACAAAAGUAAUAUAAAAACAGGGAGGGGGACAAAACAGAAGAGACUCUUACAUAUGAAGAACAAAGUGAGGGUUACUGGAGAGGUUAUGGGAGGGGGGAUGGGCUAAAUGGGUAAGGGGCACUAAGGAAUCUACUCCUGAAAUCAUUGUUGCACUAUAUGCUACCUAAUUUGUAUGUAAAUUAAAAAAUAAAAUAAAAUGAAAUAAAAUAAAAUUCACAACAAUUUUUAAAUCUAUUUCCUAGAAAGCCACAAUAGUUUAAAAAAAUUCUUGCACUUAAAGUUUAAAAUUGGUUCUGCUCUAAAAAUUAGAGUAAUCUGUUCCAAAUAGCAUGUGAACUUUUUCAAAUGAUUGUGUCAUUGUUGUUUUUUUAAGCAAAAGCUUCAAAGCUGAUGUCUUCAUCAAAUAAACAGUGCAUCAAUUGUGACUUUGAAGAAAUUGAUCAUUUAUUUUCUCUGUAAUUACUGUAUAUGUAAUACAUUUUCACUCUGUAACUAACUUACCAUUUCUGUAUGCAAAAUGUUAAAAGAAACUUAGAAAAAUCUUAUUUCUGAAGUUACUUUAACCUUGACUUUAUAGAAAUAACACAUGAGCACAACCUGUAUCAAGUGCUAACAACCUACAAUUAUCCAUUAAUCUGCACUGGAUACCAUUGGAAAAGGUAUAAAGGCUGAAUUCCUAGAAAAAUUAAAAAAUAAAAAGAAAUUCUUCAGUUUCUCUCCUUGGGAAAAGUUGAUGUUUCCUUCAUAAACUUCAGUGUCUUAUUUUAAAACCUAGCUUCACCAAAUACAGGUCAAACCCUAUGGUAAACAUCAGUUUUAAGACAACAAUUUUCUCAAUAAUUACAAUGAACACUUUACUGUAGUGAAAGUAGUUCCAAGCUUUGGGAAAGACCACAUUACAUUGUUUACAUGAUGCUGACAGAAGUAAAAUUUCCUUUAUGGAUUCAGUGUGCCAAAGUGUGGCCUCCCCCUUUUCCUCUGAUGGUCUUUUUCUCCUACCUCUCUGUAUCCAUCUACCUUGGCUACUAUAUAUCUUCUUGUUUCCAACAUGGCAAAAAGGGCCUAAGGGUGUUGACAAGUCUCUCACUAAACCUUGCCCAGAAGCCAUAAUAUAAAAAAAUACAGUUUGAUAUUUUUAGGUGGAGUUGAAUUGCAGGAGUAGUGCUCUGCAAAGGAAGGAGGCAGCACCAUAUUAACCAUUGUCUUAAAAAUGUUUAUGUUCUGUGCUUUGGAAGGUCUGGUGUAGGAGUUGGUGAGCUUUUCCUGUAAAGGGCUAGUGUUUUGUGCCAGUCACAGCCUAUCAAUAACCAAUGUUGUGGCAGUACCAGCCCUUGUGGUUCUUGUUAAGAAUGUAAGAUACCCUUUGGCAACAACCAUCAGGAAGCUUUGAAAAAAUAACGGUUUAUUACUUACAAGACCUAGAGAUUGCAUAGCAAACCAGGGCCACACAGAAAGGCCCUGGUUAGGGAGAGGAAGAGAGUGCAUGGCUCUGAGGUUCUGUUUUAAUUGAGAUGGAGAGUGGGAGCCUACGGUUUCAUGAGCUCACUCUCUUUAUUGGCGAAUGUAUAUAUGUAUGUAUGUAUUUAUCUAUUUAUUUAGGUAAAAUUGGUAUAUGACAUUAUAUUAGUUUUAGUUAUGUGCACAACAUAAUUCAAUAUUUGUAUACACUACAAAGUAAUCACUACAAUUAAGCCUAGCUCCAUCUGUCACCAUAUAAAUGACCCUCUUCAACCAUUUCACCUACCCCACAAGCCCCUUUCACUCUGAUAGCCACUAGCAUAUUCUCUGUAUCUAUGUGUUUUGUUUUGUUUUGCUUGUUUGUUUAUUUUGUUUUUUAGAUUCCACAAAUAAAGAAAAUCAUACCA